UACGUAGGGGGCGAGCGUUGUCCGGAGUUACUGGGCGUAAAGGGCAUGCAGGCGGUCGGACGCGUUUUGUGUGACAGCGGGUGGCUUAACUACCCGAGCAUGCGAAAGACGGUUGGACUUGAGGGCUCGAGAGGGACACGGAAUUCCGGGUGGAGUGGUGAAAUGCGUAGAGAUCCGGAGGAACACCGAAGGCGAAGGCAGUGUCCUGGCGAGUGACUGACGCUGAGGUGCGAAAGCCAGGGGAGCGAACGGG
rnacentral:rRNA from 1 species